AGUGAACGCUGGCGGCGUGCUUAACACAUGCAAGUCGAACGAGAACGGGUUAUAGCUUGCUAUAAUUGUCAGCUAAGUGGCGCACGGGUGAGUAAUGUAUAGGUAAUAUGCCUCUUACUAAGGGAUAACAAAUGGAAACGUUUGCUAAUACCUUAUACUCCUUAUUAACAGAAGUUAAUAAGGGAAAGAUUUAUUGGUAAGAGAUUAGCCUGUAUUGUAUCAGUUAGUUGGUGGGGUAAUGGCUUACCAAGACUAUGACACAUAACUGGUUUGAGAGGAUGAUCAGUCACACUGGAACUGAGACACGGGCCAGACUCCUACGGGAGGCAUCAGUGGGGAAUAUUGCACAAUGGACGAAAGUCUGAUGCAGCAACGCCGCGUGGAGGAUGACACAUUUCGGUGCGUAAACUCCUUUUAUAUGAGAAGAUAAUGACGGUAUUAUAUGAAUAAGCACCGGCUAACUCCGUGCCAGCCGCCGCAGUAA
rnacentral:rRNA from 1 species